GGGGGGAGCAAGCGUUGUUCGGAAUUACUGGGCGUAAAGGGCGCGUAGGCGGCCGAGUAAGUCGCGUGUGAAAUGCCGGGGCUCAACCCCGUGCACUGCACGCGAUACUGCUUGGCUCGAGAGAGGUAGGGGCGAGCGGAAUUCCCGGUGUAGCGGUGGAAUGCGUAGAUAUCGGGAAGAACACCAGUGGCGAAGGCGGCUCGCUGGACCUCUUCUGACGCUGAAGCGCGAAAGCGUGGGGAGCAAACAGGGAUUAGAUACCCUGGUAGUCCACGCCGUAAACGCUGGGUACUAGGUGUUGGGGGGAUUGACCCCUUCAGUGCCCGACGCUAACGCAUUAAGUACCCCGCCUGGGGAGUACGGUCGCAAGGCUG
rnacentral:rRNA from 1 species